AUGAACGCUGGCGGCGUGCCUAAUACAUGCAAGUCGAGCGAACAGACGAGGAGCUUGCUCCUCUGACGUUAGCGGCGGACGGGUGAGUAACACGUGGAUAACCUACCUAUAAGACUGGGAUAACUUCGGGAAACCGGAGCUAAUACCGGAUAAUAUAUUGAACCGCAUGGUUCAAUAGUGAAAGACGGUUUUGCUGUCACUUAUAGAUGGAUCCGCGCCGCAUUAGCUAGUUGGUAAGGUAACGGCUUACCAAGGCGACGAUGCGUAGCCGACCUGAGAGGGUGAACGGCCACACUGGAACUGAGACACGGUCCAGACUCCUACGGGAGGCCGCAGUAGGGAAUCUUCCGCAAUGGGCGAAAGCUUGACGGAGCAACGCCGCGUGAGUGAUGAAGGUCUUCGGAUCGUAAAACUCUGUUAUUAGGGAAGAACAAAUGUGUAAGUAACUAUGCACGUCUUGACGGUACCUAAUCAGAAAGCCACGGCUAACUACGUG
rnacentral:rRNA from 1 species